rnacentral:rRNA from 1 species
AUACAGAGGGUGCAAACGUUGUUCGGAUUUACUGGGCGUAAAGCGCGUGUAGGCUGCUUCGCAAGUCGGAUGUGAAAGCCCUGGGCUCAACCCAGGAAGUGCAUUCGAAACUGCAGAGCUGGAGUCCUGGAGAGGAAGGCGGAAUUCUCGGUGUAGAGGUGAAAUUCGUAGAUAUCGAGAGGAACACCGGUGGCGAAGGCGGCCUUCUGGACAGUGACUGACGCUGAGACGCGAAAGCGUGGGGAGCAAACAGGAUUAGAUACCCUGGUAGUCCACGCCGUAAACGAUGGGUGCUAGGUGUUGCGGGCUUUGACCCCUGCAGUGCCGUAGCUAACGCAUUAAGCACCCCGCCUGGGGAGUACGGCCGCAAGGCUAAA